UUGGACACAUAUUUUUUAAUAUCGAUAUAUCGACAACUCGAUUGAUGAAAAAAAAAACUUAACAGCCCUGUGCAGGCAGCUAGGAAUUACAGUUCAGUGGCAAAGUAACAAACAAAAAUACAAAAUGGUCCUGGAAAGUACUAUGCUAUGUUUUGAUAACAGUGAUUACCAGCGCAAUGGUGACUACUUUCCCACCCGUUUAAAUGUACAAAAAGAUGAUAUCAACCUUGUCUGCCUCACCAAGCUGAGAUCCAACCCAGAGAAUAAUGUUGGUCUAAUGACCCUAUCGAACACCGUCGAAGUGCUGGCCACACUGACCAGCGAUGCGGGUCUCAUAUUCUCAAAGAUGCAUUUGAUUCAGCCAAAGGGCGAAAUAAACCUUCUUACCGGAAUUCGUAUUGCCUAUUUGGUGUUAAAGCAUCGCCAAGGUAAAAAUCAUAAAAUACGCAUAGUUGUCUUUGAAAGCAGACUAAGCUUCUGAAGAAGGAGAAGUUAACGUAGACAUUGUAAGUUUUGGCAAUCACGCAAACAACAUUGAAACCUUGACGGCUUUUAUAAACGCUCUGAACGGAAAAGAUGGCACCGGUUCCCGUUUAGUUAGUGUUCCCAGAGGCUUGGCUUUAUCAGAUGCCUUAUUUUCGUCGCCCAUAAUACAAGAAGAUGGUAUGGGUGCCGCUGGGCUCAAAAUAUAUUGGAUGUCAGCUGGAUGUGUCUAUAUUCGGCCAAGUCCCUUUGUUUUAUUCUCUGCAAGGCGGGAUGAAACCGCGAGCGACAUCACUAAGAUGUUCGAGCCAUCAGCACAAGGUGCGGAUGCAUCAGCCAACAACGGCGGAGCAAGUGGAGGAGCUUUCGAUGCAACCAAUACUGAACAAACCGGGGCUGGUG